CGCCAGGCAGACAGGGGCUCAGUAAGCACAGGGGCCAAGGAGGGACGCUGGUGCAGUCACACAGACCGCCUUGCGUGGCGACCCAAGGCCUCAGGGCCCCCCAAAGUGGGGCUGGUGGGUUCUGGAGUAUGGUAGAAGUGGUCUCACUUCUUCAUCUUUAUGCUGUAGCCUGUGCCAGAAAAGGGCCCUUUCCAAACACAAAGGACCUUUCCGGUUGGACGCCGUCCUCUGGGAGAGAGGAGCUCUGGAAAGGGAAACGGGCGGCUGCGGCCACUAGAAACCCGCUGGUCCUCACAGGUCUUGGCAGCCCAAGUGCACGGCUCUGACAGCGAUGAGAAGUACAGGAUCCCCUGACACCGUCUAGGGACAUCGGGCUGAACCAGGGGUGCAGAGUGCUGGAGGAGGGGCCUUUGGACAUCACCAACUAAAGGCUUGAUUCGGAGUGUGGCCAGGCACCACGGCCAGCCCAGCAGGACACAGGAUGCUGGAGCAGAAGAAGGCAGCGGGCCUGCCAAUCAUGGUGCCCUGCUUCAGAGUGAGGCAGUUGGGAGGGCCUUCCGGAAGACAUGGAGGAAAGUCAGGGCAGCCGACGAAGCUGGAAGCCCAGACGUGGAGUCGGCUGCCCUGGGUUCCACUCACAGUGCCACAUACCAGCUGUGUGGCUCCAAGCAAGUUCAGCUCUGAUCUGGGGACAACUGCCCUCUGUGGGAGAGCUGGUCCGAGGAUUAUAAAUGCGUGCGUAAGGGGAAGGCAAAAAGCAAGGUGGCAACUCUCAGGACUACCGAUGGGAACCUGUCUGCUUCUGGGACUGGGCGAGGAAGGACAGAGUGACCUGAUCAAGGUUGCAGGCUAAUAUGGUUUGGCUGUGUCCCCACCCAAAUCUCAUCUUGAAUUGUAGCUCCCACAAUCCCCACAUGUCAUGGGAGGGGCCCGGCAGGAGGUCACUGAAUCAUGGAGGUGGGUCUUUCCCAGGCUGUCCCCGUGACAGUAAGUCUCACGAGAUCUGAUGGUUUUAUAAAGGGCAGUAACCCUGCACAUGCUCGCUUGCCUGCUACCAUGUAACAUGUGACUUUGCUCCUCCUUCGCCGUCCUCCAUGUUUAUGAGGCCUCCCCAGCCAUGUGGAACUGUGAGUUCAUUAAACCUCUUUUUCUUUAUAAAUUACCCAGUCUCGGGUAUUUCUUUAAAGCAGUAUGAAAAUGGACUAACAUACAUGCUAACAAGCCAGAGCGGUCCUAGAGUCAGGGCUCCGGAGUCUGUAUGCCAGACCCUUCCAACUCCAGCACCUGCCCAAGGCUGUGUGCUGCCGAUUGUGGGAGGCAGGUUUUUUUGGGGUAGGGGCAAGUUGCACUUUGUGAUAAGCCGCCCCAGCAUGGGGAAUGCUCACAGGCUGCAGAAGCCAGGGCAGCAACUGAGCCCCAGGGACAACCCCCAGGCCCAAGCCGCCAGGGCCAGGCUUUCAGGGCCUGCAGAAGGAGCAAAGGCAGGGGCAGGCAUCCCCUGCAGGCCUGGCUGGCUGCCAAGCAAGGCCAGCUUCCGGAUAAACGAGCCUUGUCUCCUGAAAUGGGUG
rnacentral:lncRNA from 1 species